GCGCAUGUGCUGUGAGCUCGAUGAGUAGGGCGGGACACGUGGUAUCCUGUCUGAAUAUGGGGGGACCAUCCUCCAAGGCUAAAUACUCCUGACUGACCGAUAGUGAACCAGUACCGUGAGGGAAAGGCGAAAAGAACCCCGGCGAGGGGAGUGAAAAAGAACCUGAAACCGUGUACGUACAAGCAGUGGGAGCACAGGUUUACCUGUGUGACUGCGUACCUUUUGUAUAAUGGGUCAGCGACUUAUAUUCUGUAGCAAGGUUAACCGAAUAGGGGAGCCGGAGGGAAACCGAGUCUUAAUUGGGCGUUAAGUUGCAGGGUAUAGACCCGAAACCCGGUGAUCUAGCCAUGGGCAGGUUGAAGGUUGGGUAACACUAACUGGAGGACCGAACCGACUAAUGUUGAAAAAUUAGCGGAUGACCUGUGGCUGGGGGUGAAAGGCCAAUCAAACCGGGAGAUAGCUGGUUCUCCCCGAAAGCUAUUUAGGUAGCGCCUCGUGAAUUCAUCUCCGGGGGUAGAGCACUGUUUCGGCUAGGGGGCCAUCCCGGCUUACCAACCCGAUGCAAACUGCGAAUACCGGAGAAUGUUAUCACGGGAGACACACGGCGGGUGCUAACGUCCGUCGUGAAGAGGGAAACAACCCAGACCGCCAGCUAAGGUCCCAAAGUCAUGGUUAAGUGGGAAACGAUGUGGGAAGGCCCAGACAGCCAGGAUGUUGGCUUAGAAGCAGCCAUCAUUUAAAGAAAGCGUAAUAGCUCACUGGUCGAGUCGGCCUGCGCGGAAGAUGUAACGGGGCUAAACCAUGCACCGAAGCUGCGGCAGCGACGCUUAUGCGUUGUUGGGUAGGGGAGCGUUCUGUAAGCCUGUGAAGGUGGCCUGUGAGGGUUGCUGGAGGUAUCAGAAGUGCGAAUGCUGACAUAAGUA
rnacentral:rRNA from 1 species